GACGGACCGUACGAACGUUAUUCGGAAUUACUGGGCUUAAAGGGUGCGUAGGCGGCUCAGAAAGUUGAAUGUGAAAGCCCUCGGCUUAACCGAGGAAUUGCAUCCAAAACUACUGGGCUUGAGUGAGACAGAGGUGAGCGGAACUCACGGUGGAGCGGUGAAAUGCGUUGAUAUCGUGAGGAACACCGGUGGCGAAAGCGGCUCACUGGGUCUUUGCUGACGCUGAUGCGCGAAAGCGUGGGGAGCAAACAGG
rnacentral:rRNA from 1 species